rnacentral:rRNA from 1 species
UACAGAGGUCCCGAGCGUUGUUCGGAUUCACUGGGCGUAAAGGGUGCGUAGGCGGUCGGGUAAGUCUGAUGUGAAAUCUCACAGCUUAACUGUGAAACUGCAUUGGAUACUAUUCGGCUUGAGGUCUGGAGGGGGGACUGGAAUUCUCGGUGUAGCAGUGAAAUGCGUAGAUAUCGAGAGGAACACCAGUGGCGAAGGCGAGUCCCUGGACAUUUCCUGACGCUGAGGCACGAAAGCCAGGGGAGCAAACGGG